CUUAUACUGGUCAGGACGUGACACAACCGAGAUAUGGUGAAUGGUUAAUGGUGGAUGCGUCAAUUAGGAUGCUUCAGUCAGUUGAGGGGAAAUAUGUUAGUGAUGCUGGGCAAUAAAUUGACAAGGCUUGCAUGUUCAGGCGCACUUGCAAGGCCAAUGAAGGUAAGCACUGCUAUAUGUUUUUUUCCCCCGCGGAGAUAAGAGACGUGAAGAGAACUCACCAAUGAUGAAACUCAUUUAGUGCUCAUUGGCAAGAUUGCUGGUUCCAUGAACCUCCCCAAGGAAACUGUGAGCUCGUAAAGAAGCGAACAAAAAGAAAAGGAACAUAAGAGAAUACUUCAAAAAGCUGACUGCAGUUAUAAAGUUCUACAAGGAACAUGGUGUUGCUCCAAGGACUACUGUCAAUUUAAUAUUGUAUUUAGGCCAAAUCUAUUAAUUAUUAUUAUAUGUGUGAAAUUAGUUUUAAUAUAGUUUAGUUGUAGUUUGGACGGGCCAGCUGGGCAGGUAACUGUUGUCUUGCAGUCAGAAAAUCAUUUUAUUUUAGGAUUCAAAGUCUAUCAUAAAUAUAAUUUUUUGGGUCCCCACACUAGUUAUACUUUCUGCUUCUGGGAGGCCCCGUCACAUGAUGAAAUACAUGAUUCAUCAUUCUCAUUUUCUGCUUUGGGUUUAUUGUAAUAACUAAUAUAAGUAUGCAAAAUUGUAGGUUUUUUAUUUAGCAUAAUUAGCAUGUGUUUAAGGUAGAUUACAUGCAUAGAGGUCAGGUUUAUCUGGGACAGAUAUGUAUAGUGCAGCACAGUUUUUCAGUCUUCCAGAUCAAGCUGAAGUUACAUGACUACGACUCCCCAAUGACAUUUGAUGAAUUUAAUAGAUAUUGAAUGUGUGUGGACUAGCUAAUCACUUACACAUCAUCACCCCUACCUGCACCACUGGGGCUUUCAACAGGCAUUGGGAUUCUGGAAGAGGAGAUUAAUAUGAUGAGAGUUCUAGGUAGAACUUUUAUUAAUUCCACUGAAAAGAAGAAAAAAACAUGUUUGAGUAAUUAGCCAAAUGAGGAUCUCCAUAUCCAUUGGCAAAGUAUGACGUGGAAGUUGCACAGCU
rnacentral:lncRNA from 1 species